AUUGAACGCUGGCGGCAGGCCUAACACAUGCAAGUCGAGCGAGCGGCGGACGGGUGAGUAAUGUAUGGGGACUGCCCGAUAGAGGGGGAUAACUACUGGAAACGGUAGCUAAUAACGCAUACUAUCGGAUAACCCAUAUGGGAUUAGCUAGUAGGUGAGGUAAUGGCUCACCUAGGCGACGAUCCCUAGCUGGUCUGAGAGGAUGAUCAGCCACACUGGGAAUGAGACACGGCCCAGACUCCUACGGAGGCAGCAGUGGGGAAUAUUUCGCAAUGGGCGCAAGCCUGAUGCGGCCAUGCCGCGUGUAUGAAGAAGGCCCUGGGGUUGUAAGAUAUUUUUAGUCGGAAGGCGUUACCGACAGAAGAAGGAACGGCUAACUACGUGCCAGCAGCGGCGGUAGUAC
rnacentral:rRNA from 1 species